UACAGAGGCCACAAGCGUUAGACGGAAUCACUGGGCUUAAAGCGUGUGUAGGCGGAUUUGUAAGUACCUUGUGAAAUCCCACGGCUCAACCGUGGAACUGCUUGGUAUACUGCUUAUCUUGGGCCACUUAGGGGUUACCGGAACAAACGGUGGAGCGGUGAAAUGCGUAGAUAUCGUUUGGAACGCCAAUGGUGAAAACAGGUAACUGGGAGUGUGCCGACGCUGAGACACGAAAGCUAGGGGAGCGAACGGG
rnacentral:rRNA from 1 species